UGUGCUAAUGAAACUAGUCAUAGGAAGUGCCAUCCGAGGCGAUAACUGAUGAUGUCCUACUUACCUGACU